rnacentral:lncRNA from 1 species
AGUUUGCCCACCUCUGAUCUAAGUAUUUGCCAUCACCCGUCUUCUUCCAGGCGGCAAGCGCCUAGAGACAGAGCUCACAGCUUUCUCCACCUCCACAGAACAACAGGAGGCCAAUGUUACUUCAGAUGAUUCCCUCACCUGUCCACUCCAACUACUAAAAGACAGAUAAAGAUUGCACUCCAAAGCAGUUUGGGAGAGAGCUGUUGUGAACAACACUGCACAACAUGUGUUCCUUCCCUGGUGUACUAUCUUAGGGGAUGUGCUAAGACUCUCGGGAACAAGAGCAGGUUCAGGACUCUUUAGCUCAACUCAAGUGUUU